AGGAGUACCGUUUAUAAUUUUACAUCUUUUGUGUUUAUUAGAUUGGAGCGGCGUUAUUGAUGAAUAGUUUUGCUUAUCUUCGAAAACCAAAUUACAAACAAUUUAUGUGCAUGUCGGUAAUAUCGCCAAGUCCAAUAGAUGGUAAUAACGCCUUGGCGUUACCAACCCUUCUUGGAGUUUUGGUUGCCUUGGCAACUUUCUCCAGAUACGUCGAAGGUUGGAAAAAUUAAAAAGCGCUCUGCCGUAGAGUCAUCGACAAGCAACAGUGAUUCUGAUGAUAUAGAGUUAAGUGAGAUGGAAACAUCAGAUGAAGAAAAACAUGACACUUCAUUUUCAGAUAUGCUAACCACUCCAGAUUAUGGUACAAAAAUGUUAUUGUUCUUAAAUACUUACUUAUUGUUAUUUUUCAGCAAAUAUAUCAUUUUGAAGUAUA
rnacentral:lncRNA from 1 species